rnacentral:lncRNA from 1 species
UUACAGAUACAAGAGGAGAUGUUGAUUUUUAAGUCUGUUCAGCUUUUUGCUUGCUGUUGGGACAGAGUGGUGGCUUCUAAGCUACUUGUGCGAGGUUAUAAGAUUUAACACAUUUCAAGAAACUCAGAAGAUGAAGAAAAUGUGCUGCUCAGAUGGCUCUUGGAAUCUUGGGAGAAAUGAGAACCCAUGUUAAAUGAAGUGGAAAUGUCUGGACUCCUAUGGCAGACCGCAGAGGCAGGGAUCAAAAGGCUGGGAGAUCAGGG